UACGUAGGGUGCAAGCGUUAAUCGGAAUUACUGGGCGUAAAGCGUGCGCAGGCGGUGAUGUAAGACAGAUGUGAAAUCCCCGGGCUCAACCUGGGAACUGCAUUUGUGACUGCAUCGCUGGAGUACGGCAGAGGGGGAUGGAAUUCCGCGUGUAGCAGUGAAAUGCGUAGAUAUGCGGAGGAACACCGAUGGCGAAGGCAAUCCCCUGGGCCUGUACCGACGCUCAUGCACGAAAGCGUGGGGAGCAAACAGG
rnacentral:rRNA from 1 species